UUUUAUAUAUGAUGCUAUCAUGGCUCCAUGUUAAUUUUUGUGAAUAUAAAUAUCCAACUAUUCCAACACCGUUUGUUCUCCACUGAUUUGUUUUUGCAUAUCUAUUGAAAAUCAUUUUUUUUCUUCUUCUUCUUUUUUUUUUUGACAGAGUUUCACUCUUUUUGCCCAGGCUGCAGUGCAGUAGCGCGAUCUUGGCUCACUGCAACUUCUUCUUCCCGGUUUCAAGCAAUUUUCCCACCUCAGCCUCCCGAGUAGCUGGGAUUACAGGUGUGCGCCACCACACCUGGCUAAUUUUUGUAUUUUUAGUAGAGAUGGGGUUUCACCAUGUUGGCCAGGUGGUCUCAAACUCCUGACCUCAGGCGAUCUGCCCACCUCAGCCUCCCAAAAUGCUGGAAUUAUAAGCAUAAGCCACUGCACCAGCCUUUUCUCCAGCCUUUUCUUUUUAUUUGAAGUUAUUUUGCCUCUUCUAGUUCCUUUACAUUUUCAUAUGUAUUUUAGAAUCAGUUUGUCAAUUUCUACCCCAAAACAAAAAGCCUUCCGAUUUGGAGCUGUGUUGAAUCUAUACAUCAGUUUGGGAAGAAGUGACAUCAUAACAAUAUUGAGUUUUCUCACCAAGGAAGAUGGUAUAUAUGUCCAUUGAAAUACCUUAGAAAUGUUUUUUAGUUUUCAAUGUACAUCUUUCACAUCUCUUGCCAGAUGUAUUUCCAAGUGUUUCAUGGUUUUAUGGCUAUUUUAAGUGAUGUUGCUUUCAUUUCCAUUUUUGAUUGCUAGUAUGUAGAAAUACAAUAGAUUUUUGUAUAUUGAUCUUUUAUCCUACAAUCUUGGCUAAACUCACUUAUUAGUGCUAAUAUAGUUUUUAUAUAUUUCGUUGGAUUUUCUACAUAGAUGAUCAUGUUUUCUGUGAACAAAGGCAGUUUUACUUCUUUCUGUACUUUUUCUUUACCCUUCUAGGACUCCAAAUGCAUGUAUGUAUGACUGCUUGGUACUUUUUUCAGGUUGUUAAAGUUCCAUUAAUUUCUGUUACAAUCUUCUUUCUUUCUUCCUUUCUUUGCUCUGUUUGGAUAAUUUCUAUUGACCUGCUUUCAAGUUUACUGAUUCUCCUGUUGUGUCCAGUCUGCUACUAAUUUCAUCCAAUGACUUUUUUAUUUCAGAUAUUUCAUUUUUCAGUUCUGGCAUUUCUAUGUGGUUCUAUUUUACAGUUUCAAAUCCCUCCUCAAAUAACUGCCUCUUCACCCAUUAUAUCUGUCUCGUUCUGAAACUUAUCAUGAUGUCCUUGUGUGCACAUUCUAAUAUGUAGGUCAUCUGUGGGUCUAUUUGUAUGGACUGAUUUUUCUCUUAACUAUGAGUUCUGUUCUCUUUUCUUUUUUGCAUGUUUUAUAAGUUUAUUUGCCAAUUACUGUGUCUUUAAAAAAAACAGUAAAGGUUGAAGUCCAUUUAAAAAUAUAUAUAUAUAUAUUUUUUUUCUACUGCCACUCUUAAGAGGAAGGAAUACCCUUUCUUCUGUUGAACAUAUAGAGUUAGGGACUGAUCAGUUUGAUCCAUUCAAGAGUUAAGCUGGUUUGGGACACGGUUGCAACUUUAAUCCCUCUACCUCCCUCUUGUGUCUCUGCCUUUGUCUGUCUCUUUCUCUCUCUUUCUCUGUUCCUGGCUGCUCCCUCUUCCCAUUCCCUUGUACACUCCUUUCAGCUAAUCUAUUUCCCCCUACCCCAUCUCCCUCAAACUGGAAGCUUCUGGCAGAGGAGAAGGCAGCUGUACUUCGGGCAGUGGAGGAACGUGAGCGGGCCGAGGCAGAGGGCCGGGAGCGUGAGGCUCGGGCCCUGUCACUGACACGGGCACUGGAGGAGGAGCAGGAAGCACGUGAGGAGCUGGAGCGGCAGAACCGGGCCCUGCGGGCUGAGCUGGAGGCACUGCUGAGCAGCAAGGAUGACGUCGGCAAGAGCGUGCAUGAGCUGGAACGAGCCUGCCGGGUAGCAGAACAGGCAGCCAAUGAUCUGCGAGCACAGGUGACGGAACUGGAGGAUGAGCUGACGGCGGCUGAGGAUGCCAAGCUGCGUCUGGAGGUGACUGUGCAGGCUCUCAAGACUCAGCAUGAGCGUGACCUGCAGGGCCAUGAUGAGGCUGGUGAAGAGAGGCGGAGGCAGCUGGCCAAGCAGCUGAGAGAUGCAGAGGUGGAGCGGGAUGAGGAGCGGAAGCAGCGCACUCUGGCCGUGGCUGCCCGCAAGAAGCUGGAGGGAGAGCUGGAGGAGUUGAAGGCUCAGAUGGCCUCCGCCGGCCAGGGCAAGGAGGAGGCGGUGAAGCAGCUUCGCAAGAUGCAGGCCCAGAUGAAGGAGCUAUGGCGGGAGGUGGAGGAGACACGCAGCUCCCGGGAGGAGAUCUUCUCCCAGAAUCGGGAAAGUGAAAAGCGCCUCAAGGGCCUGGAGGCUGAGGUGCUGCGGCUGCAGGAGGAACUGGCCGCCUCGGACCGUGCUCGGCGGCAGGCCCAGCAGGACCGGGAUGAGAUGGCAGAUGAGGUGGCCAAUGGCAACCUUAGCAAGGCAGCCAUUCUGGAGGAGAAGCGUCAGCUGGAGGGGCGCCUGGGGCAGUUGGAGGAAGAGCUGGAGGAGGAGCAGAGCAACUCGGAGCUGCUCAAUGACCGCUACCGCAAGCUGCUCCUGCAGGUAGAGUCACUGACUACAGAGCUGUCAGCUGAGCGCAGUUUCUCAGCCAAGGCAGAGAGCGGGCGGCAGCAGCUGGAACGGCAGAUCCAGGAGCUACGGGGACGCCUGGGUGAGGAGGAUGCUGGGGCCCGUGCCCGCCACAAGAUGACCAUUGCUGCCCUUGAGUCUAAGUUGGCCCAGGCUGAGGAGCAGCUAGAGCAAGAGACCAGAGAGCGCAUCCUCUCUGGAAAGCUGGUGCGCAGAGCUGAGAAGCGGCUUAAAGAGGUGGUGCUCCAGGUGGAGGAGGAGCGGAGGGUGGCUGACCAGCUCCGGGACCAGCUGGAGAAGGGAAACCUUCGAGUCAAGCAGCUGAAGCGGCAGCUGGAGGAGGCCGAGGAGGAGGCAUCCCGGGCUCAGGCUGGCCGCCGGAGGCUGCAGCGUGAGCUGGAAGAUGUCACAGAGUCGGCCGAGUCCAUGAACCGUGAAGUGACCACACUGAGGAACCGGCUUCGACGCGGCCCCCUCACCUUCACCACCCGCACGGUGCGGCAGGUCUUCCGACUAGAGGAGGGCGUGGCAUCCGACGAGGAGGCAGAGGAAGCACAGCCUGGGUCUGGGCCAUCCCCGGAGCCUGAGGGGUCCCCACCAGCCCACCCCCAGUGACCCUACCGUGUCCCCAGAUGCACUAACAGAUGCGGCCCAGCCCCCUUCCUCCCUGGACCCCACAGGCCCCUGUCCCAGGAACCCCGCCCUCUGACUUCCUGCCCUUUGGAAAUGGUGCAGCACUCUGGCAUUUAUCAUCCCCACCUGGGCCCCCUGCAACCUCCCAUCAAAGGAUGACCCCUAAACACAGAGGAGCGGGGCAGGCAGGGAGGCAAGGACUGGAGCUACCUUGCUUGUGGGGGGACUGGGUACAGUUGGCAAGCUGUGUUCCCAUCAGCUCCCUGUCCUCCUUUCUUCCCUUGUUAUUGAUCUCUAGACAUUAGGAAGGGAGUGAGACGGCUCCUCCACCGUCCUCAGCCAGUGCAGCCCAUUCCGUCUGCUUCUCUCUCUCUCUCCGUCCCUCUCCUUCCCUACCCUCUCACCGUCUUGGCGUCUCUGAGGGUCCCUCUGUGCAUCUUUUUAGGGAUCUCGCUCUCACUCUCUCUCUACGUAGCCACUCUCCUUCCCCCAUUUCUGUGUCCACCCCCGAACUCCUGAGCGACAGAAGCCCCAGGCCUCCACCAGCCUUGAACCCUUGCAAAGGGGCAGGACAAGGGGACCCCUCUCACUCCUGCUGCUGCCCAUGCUCUGCCCUCCCUUCUGGUUGCUGAGGGUUCGGAGCUUCCCUCUGGGACUAAAGGAGUGUCCUUUACCCUCCCAGCCUCCAGGCUCUGGCAGAAAUAAACUCCAACCCGACUGG
rnacentral:sRNA from 1 species